rnacentral:tmRNA from 1 species
GGGGGUGAUUGGAUUUGACAGCUAAGGGAAUGAGCAGGUGCAUGCGGGGUUCGCUGUCCUCCUCUCAAAAGGGCAGCCGCACAAGAAGUGCCGAAACUUCUUACGCGCUCGCUGCCUGAUUAAGUAGGCAGCAGGCGGAGGGGAGGCCCCGCCCGAGGCCGAGCCUCUCGCCUGGGUUGUAUCGGGCUUGAGGCUGAGGAGGCCCGACUCAGCCUGACGUAGUAGGGUCUGAGGAAGCCCUGUCCUGGGCCGUUGCAGGCGGGCUUCCGAGAGGCUUCAACGGCUAAGCAUGUAGGGCCUGCUCAGGGACCUUAGACUGGACGCGGGUUCGACUCCCGCCACCUCCACGG